rnacentral:snRNA from 1 species
GGAUGUGAGGGCGAUCUGGCUGCGACAUCUGUCACCCCAUUGAUCGCCAGGGUUGAUUCGGCUGAUCUGGCUGGCUAGGCGGGUGUCCCCUUCCUCCCUCACCGCUCCAUGUGCGUCCCUCCCGAAGCUGCGCGCUCGGUGGAAGAGGACGACCUUCCCCGAUAGAGGAGGACCGUUCUUCGGUCAAGGGUAUACGAGUAACUGCGCUCCCCUGCUAGAACCUCCAAACAAGCUCUCAAGAAAGUGAGUGUGACUAGGUUUUACACCAAAAUCUCUUUUUAAAAAAGGAAAAUUU